AUCGCUUCGCACGCGCCGAGACCGAUGUACCGAUGACCAAAACUGCCGGUCUGCUACAUCCUGCCCACAAGCCCUGCGUUCUGCCCACAACAUCCCACUUCGUCACAUGCACGCUUUCUUCACCUACGCCGAUUCGCUCUUCCGCUCCCCUGCCCCUCACAGCCCUGCCAGCCACUUCUCCAGCUCCUGCGCCGCCUGCUCCCACCGUGUGUCCUGUGCGCGAGUCGGAGGAGGUUGCGUAUCGGAAUGACCAUGUGAGCACCAGCACAGGAAUGCCAGCUUAAAUGCGUCAUUGUGUGGACCUUGCUGCAUGGACCAGGGAUGCGUACAUCAUACAUGGACUUCCGCCCCCUGCUUCUUGUGCCUUUGCCAUUUACAAGCAGGGCAAGAUGCCAAAGGCCAGGCUGCCAGCACCAUGGCUGUGGCGAUCUCGGCCGCCCACACCCCUCCUGCCCCCCCUCCC
rnacentral:lncRNA from 1 species